rnacentral:rRNA from 1 species
UACGUAGGGGGCAAGCGUUGUCCGGAUUACUGGGCGUAAAGCGCCUGUAGGCGGCCUGUCAAGUCCGGCCUGAAGCCCCCGGACUCCAACCGGGGAGGGUGGCUGGAAACUGGCAGGCUUGAGGGCGAGAGAGGAGGGUGGAAUUCCUGGUGUAGCGGUGAAAUGCGUAGAUAUGCGGAGGAACACCGAUGGCGAAGGCAAUCCCCUGGGCCUGCACUGACGCUCGAUGCACGAAAGCGUGGGGAGCAAACAGG